rnacentral:rRNA from 1 species
ACGGCGAGUGAAGCGGCAAAAGCUCAGAUUUGAAAUCUGGCGUCUUCGGCGUCCGAGUUGUAAUCUGUAGAGGAAGCCUUUGGGUGGCCACCGGUCUAAGUCCCCUGGAACGGGGUGUCACAGAGGGUGAGAAUCCCGUAUGUGACCGGGAAGGCGCCCUAUACAUGGCUCCUUCGACGAGUCGAGUUGUUUGGGAAUGCAGCUCUAAAUGGGAGGUAAAUUCCUUCUAAAGCUAAAUACCGGCCAGAGACCGAUAGCGCACAAGUAGAGUGAUCGAAAGAUGAAAAGCACUUUGGAAAGAGAGUUAAAAAGCACGUGAAAUUGUUGAAAGGGAAGCGCUUGCAACCAGACUUGUUGGCGGUGUUCCGCCGGUCUUCUGACCGGUCUACUCACCGUCUGCAGGCCAGCAUCAUCUGGGGCCGCUGGAUAAAAGCGGAGGGAAUGUGGCUCCUCCGGGAGUGUUAUAGCCCUCUGUGUAAUACAGCGAGUCCCGGGUGAGGUCCGCGCUUCGGCUAGGAUGCUGGCGUAAUGGUCGUAAGCGGCCCGUCUUGAAACACGGACCAAGGAGUCUAACAUCUAUGCGAGUGUUCGGGUGUCAAACCCCUACGCGUAAUGAAAGUGAACGGAGGUGGGAACCUUUUAGGUGCACCAUCGACCGAUCCUGAUGUCUUCGGAUGGAUUUGAGUAAGAGCAUAGCUGUUGGGACCCGAAAGAUGGUGAACUAUGCCUGGAUAGGGUGAAGCCAGAGGAAACUCUCGUGGAGGCUCGCAGCGGUUCUGACGUGCAAAUCGAUCGUCAAAUUUGGGUAUAGGGGCGAAAGACUAAU